rnacentral:tRNA from 1 species
GGGUAUAGCUCAGUGAUAGAGCACUUGCCCAGCAUGCACCAUAUUUGAGGCCCUGGGUUUGAUCCCCAGUACCACCA